AUCUAUAAUACAUUAUUUCAUACCACUUUGCAUCUGUAACCUUCCAAGAUAUUUAUUCCAAAACAAAAAAAAAGAAAAAAUCACAAAAGAGAAUAGAUAAAACGAACCUUCGAAAACUUGAUAAUAAAUUCACAUUUUGCUUCCCAAGAACUACGAAAAUCGCAAUCUCCACAGCAUAACACCGAAAUAUCACAUAAGCACAUACUCAUGCAUUCACC
rnacentral:lncRNA from 1 species